rnacentral:tRNA from 1 species
GCUGGAGUAGCUCAGCUGGGAGAGCGUUAGACUGAAGAUCUAAAGGUCCCUGGUUCAAUCCCGGGCUUCAGCA